rnacentral:rRNA from 1 species
CCUGGCUUAGGAUGAACGCUAGCUACAGGCUUAACACAUGCAAGUCGAGGGGCAGCACAAGGAGCAAUCUGAGGUGGCGACCGGCGCACGGGUGAGUAACACGUAUGCAACCUGCCUGUAAGCGGGGAAUAACCCGUUGAAAGACGGACUAAUACCGCAUAAUACUAAAUUACUGCAUGGUAAUUUAUUUAAACAUUUAUGGCUUACAGAUGGGCAUGCGCAUGAUUAGCUAGUUGGAGAGGUAACGGCUCCCCAAGGCAACGAUCAUUAGGGGUUCUGAGAGGAAGGUCCCCCACACUGGUACUGAGACACGGACCAGACUCCUACGGGAGGCAGCAGUGAGGAAUAUUGGUCAAUGGACGAGAGUCUGAACCAGCCAAGUCGCGUGCAGGAAGAAUGUCCCUAUGGAUUGUAAACUGCUUUUGCAGGGGAAUAAAGUGCAUCACGUGUGAUGUUUUGUAUGUACUCUGCGAAUAAGGAUCGGCUAACUCCGUGCCAGCCGCCGC